UACGUAGGGUCCAAGCGUUAUCCGGAAUCACUGGGCGUAAAGCGUGCGUAGGUGGCGCGUUAAGUGAGAUGUUAAAUCGUGUGGCUCAACCAUAUCGAUGCAUCUCAUACUGGCGUGCUAGAGGGAAGCAGAGGCAAGUGGAAUUUGUAGUGUAGCAGUGAAAUGCGUAGAUAUUACAAGGAACACCAAUGGCGAAGGCAGCUUGCUGGGCUUCUUCUGACACUGAGGUACGAAAGCGUGGGGAGCGAACAGG
rnacentral:rRNA from 1 species